GGCGAGUGGCGAACGGGUGAGUAAUACAUCGGAACGUGCCCUGUAGUGGGGGAUAACUAGUCGAAAGAUUAGCUAAUACCGCAUACGACCUGAGGGUGAAAGUGGGGGACCGCAAGGCCUCAUGCUAUAGGAGCGGCCGAUGUCUGAUUAGCUAGUUGGUGGGGUAAAGGCCCACCAAGGCGACGAUCAGUAGCUGGUCUGAGAGGACGAUCAGCCACACUGGGACUGAGACACGGCCCAGACUCCUACGGGAGGCAGCAGUGGGGAAUUUUGGACAAUGGGCGAAAGCCUGAUCCAGCAAUGCCGCGUGUGUGAAGAAGGCCUUCGGGUUGUAAAGCACUUUUGUCCGGAAAGAAAUGGCUCUGGUUAAUACCUGGGGUCGAUGACGGUACCGGAAGAAUAAGGACCGGCUAACUACGUGCCAGCAGCCGCGGUAAUACGUAGGGUCCAAGCGUUAAUCGGAAUUACUGGGCGUAAAGCGUGCGCAGGCGGUUGUGCAAGACCGAUGUGAAAUCCCCGAGCUUAACUUGGGAAUUGCAUUGGUGACUGCACGGCUAGAGUGUGUCAGAGGGGGGUAGAAUUCCACGUGUAGCAGUGAAAUGCGUAGAGAUGUGGAGGAAUACCGAUGGCGAAGGCAGCCCCCUGGGAUAACACUGACGCUCAUGCACGAAAGCGUGGGGAGCAAACAGGAUUAGAUACCCUGGUAGUCCACGCCCUAAACGAUGUCAACUAGUUGUUGGGGAUUCAUUUCCUUAGUAACGUAGCUAACGCGUGAAGUUGACCGCCUGGGGAGUACGGUCGCAAGAUUAAAACUCAAAGGAAUUGACGGGGACCCGCACAAGCGGUGGAUGAUGUGGAUUAAUUCGAUGCAACGCGAAAAACCUUACCUACCCUUGACAUGCCACUAACGAAGCAGAGAUGCAUUAGGUGCUCGAAAGAGAAAGUGGACACAGGUGCUGCAUGGCUGUCGUCAGCUCGUGUCGUGAGAUGUUGGGUUAAGUCCCGCAACGAGCGCAACCCUUGUCUCUAGUUGCUACGAAAGGGCACUCUAGAGAGACUGCCGGUGACAAACCGGAGGAAGGUGGGGAUGACGUCAAGUCCUCAUGGCCCUUAUGGGUAGGGCUUCACACGUCAUACAAUGGUGCAUACAGAGGGUUGCCAAGCCGCGAGGUGGAGCUAAUCCCAGAAAAUGCAUCGUAGUCCGGAUCGUAGUCUGCAACUCGACUACGUGAAGCUGGAAUCGCUAGUAAUCGCGGAUCAGCAUGCCGCGGUGAUACGUUCCCGGGUCUUGUACACACCGCCCGUCACACCAUGGGAGUGGGCUUUACCAGAAG
rnacentral:rRNA from 1 species